rnacentral:rRNA from 1 species
GGCGAAGGGGGCUAGCGUUGUUCGGAAUUACUGGGCGUAAAGCGUGUGUAGGUGGUUGCCAUAGUCAGGUGUGAAAGCCUUGAGCUCAACUCAAGAAAUGCACUUGAUACUGGGCAGCUAGAGGACCGGAGAGGAUAGUGGAAUUCCCAGUGUAGUGGUGAAAUACGUAGAGAUUGGGAAGAACACCAGUGGCGAAGGCGGCUAUCUGGACGGUUUCUGACACUAAGACACGAAAGCGUGGGGAGCAAACAGG